GUACACGCUGUGACUAGCAUAUCAAUAAGCGGAGGAAAAGAAACUAACAAGGAUUCCCCUAGUAACGGCGAGUGAAGCGGGAAGAGCUCAAAUUUGAAAUCUUAAAGGGUUUCCCUUUACGAAUUGUAGUUUAAAGAAGUGUUUUCUGUUGAGGUUUUGGUAAAAGUUCUUUGGAAUAGGACAUCAUAGAGGGUGAGAAUCCCGUAUUUGACCUUUACUUUCAACUUUGUGAUACACUUUCAAAGAGUCGGAUUGUUUGGGAAUGCAGUCCAAAAUGGGUGGUAAAUUUCAUCUAAAGCUAAAUAUUGGCGAGAGACCGAUAGCGAACAAGUACCGUGAGGGAAAGAUGAAAAGAACUUUGAAAAGAGAGUUAAACAGUACGUGAAAUUGUCAAAAGGGAAGCGUUUGACACCAGUGUUGUUUUUCUGAAAAUCAAUUAAAGAACUGUUUAUGCUAAGUUGUUUAGACUUUAUCAGCUAACUGUUUAGUUUUGAGCUUUUCUUUAAUGCACUUUUCAGUUAACAAGUCAACAUCAAUUUCUUUUGCUGUAAAAAAGCUUGAGGAAGGUGGCUUGAGAUUCGUCCUUAAGUGUUUAUAGCCUCUUGCCUAUGCAGUCGGAGAGAUUGAGGUCUGCAGCGUAGAUCCUUCGGGGCUAAAUGCAUUUGUGCUAAGUUAUAGCAUUUCAUAGACAACUUGUUGACUAUGAUUUGUCUUGUAGCUUACUCGCUUAUGUUAUUUUACCUACGCUUAGGAUGUUGACUGAUAUGUAGUCGUA
rnacentral:rRNA from 1 species